UGGUGGGUAGUUUGACUGGGGCGGUCUCCUCCUAAAGAGUAACGGAGGAGCACGAAGGUUGGCUAAUCCUGGUCGGACAUCAGGAGGUUAGUGCAAUGGCAUAAGCCAGCUUGACUGCGAGCGUGACGGCGCGAGCAGGUGCGAAAGCAGGUCAUAGUGAUCCGGUGGUUCUGAAUGGAAGGGCCAUCGCUCAACGGAUAAAAGGUACUCCGGGGAUAACAGGCUGAUACCGCCCAAGAGUUCAUAUCGACGGCGGUGUUUGGCACCUCGAUGUCGGCUCAUCACAUCCUGGGGCUGAAGUAGGUCCCAAGGGUAUGGCUGUUCGCCAUUUAAAGUGGUACGCGAGCUGGGUUUAGAACGUCGUGAGACAGUUCGGUCCCUAUCUGCCGUGGGCGCUGGAGAACUGA
rnacentral:rRNA from 1 species